rnacentral:rRNA from 1 species
UAAGCAUAUCAAUAAGCGGAGGAAAAGAAACUAACAAGGAUUCCCCUAGUAGCGGCGAGCGAAGCGGGAAGAGCUCAAAUUUAUAAUCUGGCACCUUCGGUGUCCGAGUUGUAAUCUCUAGAAGUGUUUUCCGCGUUGGACCGCACACAAGUCUGUUGGAAUACAGCGGCAUAGUGGUGAAACCCCCGUAUAUGGUGCGGACGCCCAGCGCUUUGUGAUACACUUUCAAUGAGUCGAGUUGUUUGGGAAUGCAGCUCAAAUUGGGUGGUAAAUUCCAUCUAAAGCUAAAUAUUGGCGAGAGACCGAUAGCGAACAAGUACCGUGAGGGAAAGAUGAAAAGCACUUUGGAAAGAGAGUUAACAGUACGUGAAAUUGUUGGAAGGGAAACGCUUGAAGUCAGACUUGCUUGCCGGAGCUUGCUUCGGUUUGCAGGCCAGCAUCAGUUUUCCGGGGUGGAUAAUGACGGUUUGAAGGUAGCAGUCUCGGCUGUGUUAUAGCUUUCCGUUGGAUACGCCCUGGGGGACUGAGGAACGCAGCGUGCUUUUUGCGAAAGACUCGUCUUUUUCACGCUUAGGAUGCUGGUGGAAUGGCUUUAAACGACCCGUCUUGAA